UCGGAGAUGACAGUGAGGUUGAUUUGGAAAGGGUCCUGUGAAUCAUGCGGGUUUUAGGGAAAGCAAUUUUGUAAUUUGUAGCCAUGAAGUGAUGAAGCCUAAUUAAGGAGUUACCAGUGUGUGUUUGAGACUGACCUAGCAAUAUGUCGGCCUUUUUCCGUUUUCUGAGCAAGCGACGAAGCCGAAGGGGGCGCAAAAAUAGGACGGAUCUUGGUCACCCCGCCAAGAAAAAGAAUGUGUUGACUUGCACUGUGAUGCUGCUCGAUGGCACGGAUUUUACUGUCGAUAUAAAUAAAAAGGCCAACGGUGGUGAGCUGAUGGAGCAGAUCUUCUACUACCUGGACAUAAUAGAGAAGGACUACUUCGGGCUACAAUACACAGACGUCCACAACGUCAAUCACUGGCUGGAUCCCACCAAACAGAUCCGCAAGCAAGUCAAGAAUCCCUAUUGGCUGGAUACUGAUGUCGAUGCCAACGAGCCUGACCAAUCAGACACUUAUUCAGAGUCAUUUGGCCCUCCUUAUACAUUCCGAUUUCGAGUCAAGUUUUAUUCAUCUGAGCCAAAUAACCUCCGGGAAGAAUUAACAAGAUACCAGUUCUUCCUCCAGUUGAAGCAGGACAUUUUCCACAACCGUUUGCCUCUGGCUGAAGAAACCCUCAUUGAACUCUGUGCUUUAGCAUUACAAUCUGAGCUGGGAGACUAUGACCCCGAGGUCCACACUCCAGGGUACAUCUCCGAGUUCCGGUUCAUCCCCAACCAGUCCGAGGACAUGGAACUAGCCAUCCAUGAACAGUUCAAGAAGUGUGGUGGGAUGACGCCGGCCCUGGCAGAGCUGGCGUACCUGAACAAGGCCAAGUGGCUGGAGAUGUACGGAGUGGACAUGCACAUGGUCAUGGGUCGAGACGGCAACGAGUACAGCCUGGGCCUCACACCCACCGGAGUCCUAGUGUUUGAGGGCAAGCAGAAGAUUGGUCUCUUCUUCUGGCCAAAGAUGACGAAGCUGGACUUCAAGGGAAAGAAACUCACACUUGUGGCUGUUGAAGACGAUGAAACCGGUGCAAGUCAGGACCAUGUGUUCGUGUUCCGACUGGCCAGCGACAAGGCGUGCAAGCACCUGUGGAAGUGUGCAGUAGAACACCACGCCUUCUUCCGACUGAAAGGCCCUGUCAAGGAGGGCAAUGCCAGACAGAACUUCUUCCGGCUCGGGUCCAGGUUCAGAUACAGUGGUCGAACAGAAUACCAGACAGCCACCGUGAGUCGAGCUCGCCGCAGCGUUAGAUUCGAACGGAAGCCUAGUCACCGCUACUCUCGCCGGGCAACUUUCGAGCGAGCAGAACGAGAAGAGAAGAUGAAACUGGCUCAAGAGAGAGCAGACAGAAAGAAGGUGGCCCAACAGAGUCGGGAAGCUAUCCGAGCAGAGAAGAAAGAAACAACAAUAGACGAACCCAGAGUAACAACUGUGGUUGUGGCUCCAGGAGCUGCUGCUGCUGCUGCUGCACCAACUGUGACUGUUGAUGUCGCCGACGGCCCGACCAACACCUCAGCUCUCGAUAGAUUAGACACCUUAAUCAAAGGAACGGCGGCAGACACUUCAAUGAACUCUCUCAACAGGAAACCCAAAUCUCCACGACCAUCAACCAGUUCUACAGCUGCCAAUGAUGUUUCCAUACGAGAGGCAUCAGAGUUUGCGAUGGCGCGGAUGAAGGUGUUGGACGACACAGCGCCGGUGGUGCUCAAACCCAAGCCAGAUGUAAACACAUUCCAGAACAACCAGGUCAAGUUUGCAUCAACCAGCACGGCCACCAUUCCUCCCGACCAGAUGAAGUGCAACAUCUUCAAGGCGAGGCAUGAAGAAGACUUGAAGAAAGAUAAUGAAGUGGUUGCGUUGCCGCCAGGACCAGUGAAGGUUGUAUCUGAGGCGGAGGACGACGACGAUAAGGAGAGUGAUAAGAACAGUGAGAGUGAUGCCGAUGAAAAUGAGGACGUAAAUUCGGAGAGUGAGGAAGAGGAAAGUCCAUCGUUGAAUGCUUCUCUCAAUGCAUCCAGUGUGGCACCAGACGAUGUAGUGCACUUGGUCAAGCCGGUCAAGAUAGUGCCAGCUGCACCCACCAUCACCAUGCCUGUUGUGCAGAACGGCUACAGCAGUAUGGAGAGACGCAGUAAGCCGAGCACAUCAAGCACCUCCUCGCACACGUCACACACCUCACACAAUCGCACUCUCAGUCAGACAAGUGACACCACGGAGAAGAAUCGCAAACUAAGUCAGAAUAGUGACGUUUUCGUCAGCAUCAGUCCGAACAGUGUUAUUGGUGUUCCACAGCCUCCAGAGAAAGCCAAAGCUAAGCAGCCACCUCCAGUUCCUGCUAGACCCAAAGUUCCCCAAAAGGAAACAUCCUUUACCGGAACAAAAGCAGCAAACCGCAAGAAUCCCUCUUCUUCAAGUGCUAAGACAACAGUGAGUCACGUGGUUACAGUGAACAAACGAUCUGUGUCAGAGUCAAACGCUUCUCAUGCCAAUGGCAAUGACCUUUCACCCUGGCAGGUGGCUCCACCUGAGAAGAAAGUGGAAAGGAAGAUAACUCUAACUACAGAAUUGUGAAGUGCAAUGGAACACGUGAAUAAUAAUGAUUCAGACAAGAGACUUCCGAAGGAGAGUGUUUUAGAGAUGUGACUAUUUGGACAAAUUCUUCUUGGAAGAGACUUAAAUUUGCCAGAAUGAAUAUCUGUGGAUAUAUUGUGUGUAGAUCUACGAUGUAGGAUACAUAGAGAAGAGCAAUGCAGGAAACGUGUAGGGAAGAUAUUUCAAGAAGACAAUGGAUUUCAUGAUUUUAUGGCAUAUUUUAUCCUUCAUAAUUAUUGCUGUGUGUGGGACUAUGGCCUUCUGAUUACAUUUUCUAACCCACGACAGAAAUGGAUUUCUAAUCUCUUUAUAUUCGUCAUCAACUUUCGAAAAAUAUUGACCAUUACCGACAAUGCAUGUGAGUUUUCAAAUUGCAUAUUCAGCAAAUCUUUUUUAAAAACAAAAUAAUUGCAUGAAGAACAGAUCAUUUUGAAUCAUUCUCUUCUCAUAAUGUUUUCAAGUCAUGUGGAUAUUUGUUCAUGUUCUAUGGAUAUCUGUUCAAGUUAUGUGGAUAUUUGUUCCUGUUCUAUAGAAUGGCACGCAAGUCCCCACCAUUACAGCUACUGGAGCGAUGGAAACAAGUUUUUUCACUAGAAUGGAAUUUGGUUGCAAAAAGAUUUUGGAAGCAGGAAAGAUGCUUUGUGGGCAUCAAGAUGAUGCGUCUCAAGUUUUAAUGUUUUGCUCUUGAUAACAAGCAGGUUUCUCUGUCUUGAGGUGAGAUGAAUGUGUGUAUAAACGUGUAUGCUGGUUUAGGGCUGGUUGAUAAUACAGUGAUCCCCAAACCUGCAUACUUGAGACUGCUGUUGAAAUAUUGCUGCAGCAAAACCAGGAGGGUUGCCACAACUGAUUCCAUGUGAGUGCUUGCAUUUGGGGAACUUCAGGAGGGGCCAUAUUAAGAACUCUUUUUCCACAAUCUGACGUGGCAGUGUGGAAGUGGUUAAGAUGUAUUGGAAACAGCCACAUCCGCGCACCAUUUUCUGACUUCCAUGUGGCAUGUUAUUUUCAAAACAGUUUUAUACAGCACCUAAUAAAUUAUCCCUAUUGUUUUGUUUUUUAAAUGCAACAACAGGAAUGGGCUUACAUCUCCUCUGUGUACUGUUGACAUGGUCCCUCUGUUCAACAAGGUGGCCAUAAUAUGCUAUGUGUAUGUUAACUAGCUUACUGUUUAACGUGACUACGUAUUGCUUCUAGCUCAGCUGGUAGGGUGCUCUGUCUGGCAGUGCUUUCUGUAGUACAUGACCAUACGUGUUGCUUCUAGCCCUCGCCGUGUGAAGGUCGGUGGGUAGCACAAGAAUCAGCUAACUGAAAAAUCUUAAAUGGCUAUUUUUUGUUGGUAAAUUAAACUGAGUUCAAAUAAAGGAAUAUAGUCAAAUUUUACCUUGUUAUGGUUUGGGGGGAAUAUAAUUUAAAAAAAAUAUUUCUUUGUGACUGAGAAAUGCAGUCGUGGUAGUGUGUGGGUUUUUUAAAUAUUCAGUGCUCUAUAUUUUAAGCUUGUGUGCACUUGUGCUGCUUAUGACAAUAUUAUUAGGCUUAUCGUGAGGGUCGUUUCUUAACGUCAGUUUGGGAAUUUAGCAGGCUGCCCUGUUGUCAGUAUUGUUACGCAUUUACCGGUUUUGUAUAGUUUGUGGAUGUCAUCGUGCAUGUUAUUUAUAGUAACACUAACUAGCGGCGUGUAUUUCUGUCUACACAAUGUAAUUGAACAUAUAUUUGAACUUCUUGCCACUGUGUAAUCAGAUUUGUUCUAAUCAUAGUCUAUGCAUGUUUGCUAUUCCGAUGUUUGACAUAUCCCGAAGCAUGCCUUACUUCAUGAAGACAUAUCAGCACUAUUCCUCUUGUCCAGCUGCCCGAUUCCGUCGACUCAAUGUGGGCCUUAUGCUUAUUUUCAACUAAGAUGUUAUUCAACAGAAAGGUUCUUACAAAUAUUUUUUUGUAUUUUAUUUUAUCUACCUACAUACAGGAACUAUUCAGUGGAAGACACAUCGAGUGGACACACAGAGUGUUGAGUCAUGUUUGAAUUGUGGCGAUGGAUUCCACAGGCAUUACGGUUGAUGUAUUCACCAGAAUUGUGAGGAAACAUUAGCCAUCAGUGAAGACAGACCCUGGGGUCGUUGUUUAGAGAUGUAUAUACAUGUGCUUGCUUCAGCUGAGCAACUGUGUCAUGAUUGUUUAAUGGCAGACAAUACGUAAGAGGUUGGGAUAUUUGGUUGCAAAGACGAUCAACGUCUCAUGUAUAAAAAGUUGUCCAACCCCAGUUUGGGAAUUUGUCGUGUGAAGAUUUAGGUUACAAUUGGUCCCUAGCAACUAAAUUUGUCAUUAGAGGCAAAUUAAUCGUAGAUCGAUUCUCAUUGCAUCGGUCACUGGAUUGUCUGGUGUAGACAUGAAUGUUUACAGACCGUCGUCACGUAGCUGGAAUAUUGCUGAAUGUUGCAGACAAGCUAGUGAAUAACUUCAAUCUGUCUGUUGGGGGGAAGUUGCACAAACCAGGGUCUUCUGUACAUUGUGUAAGUAAGUUUUAAUUGUUACUUGUUGCCAUUUUUUUAACUUUAAUGUGAACAGAUAUUUUUUUUUAAGUAGCUGUCAUUGAAAGGGGUUGUGACUUCUUGGUGUUUACUUAUGAAUCUUGAUUGCGGUUUUCAUUACACUUCAACAAAAACAGGUUAACUACUGCUUCGACGUAGAUAGUAGAGGUAGGAAAAUUUACGUUGUUACAUGAUACACUAUGUUUGUUUAUAAGGCGAGGAGUUAUUUUCUGAUUUAGCUAGCUGUACACAAGUUACACCUUGACAUUCGCUGACAAUGGUGGACAUUCCUGGUUGUCAUCAUGGUUGUAACCCUGGUUGUUACGGGGGGGAGAAUUUGCUGUUUUAGCCAUACAGUCUAUACACUGGGUAGUGGCCGAUAUGUUAUGUGGCAUUCCAUCGUGAAAUAGUUCACUGAGUCAAGGUAGCUCGGUGGAGUUGGGGAGGGAAAUGUGAUAUUUUUAGAUGUUGUUGAAUGUAGGUAUUUACUAACACGUACAAAUGAGCAAGUAAUUUCUGGCAUUCAAAGAUGAAGGUCCUUUCUGACAAUUUUCACGCAAUAUUUUUUAUACUUAUAUUUUGAAUUCCUUCUACGCUUUCAGUAACACAGACUCAUAGUGUGCAUAUUACUGUGUUUUGAUGCUUUAGUACAUUUGUCAUUGUUGUCAUCUUCAUCUUCAUUCAACUUUUUCCUCAAAAAACUUUGUCCUGCAUACAUAUCUGUAUUCUAGUGUACUGUUGAAAUCGUAAAUUAUCUGUUUAUAAACUUUUCCAAUUGUGAUAUUUAUUUAUAAUUUUGACUCAAGCCAGAUUUUCUGUUUUCUUGUACGAAACUACAAAGAAAACUGACCAGCUCAUUGUCCAGCUCAAGGUCGUUCAGCAACCUUGCUCUUACUAAUGUGUAAAUUUACCAAAUAUCUGAUGCCUCUUCCCAUCCUUGUGUCUGUCAGUGUUCGGAGGUCCACUACAGUGUGGAUCUUACGUUGGUGCUGCCAAGGCUGGUAUUGAAAUGUAUCAAGUCUAACAAACUUGCUCACAUCACUUUGUGCAUGUGCAAGGAACAACGGAGUAUUUGUAUUUCACUUACAAGAGGAGGAUUUGUGUCAAAUGUCAUCUUCCCAGUCAGUGGAUGUAUUCUGUAGCCAUUCUGGAACAAAAGACAUCUCUCAAAAUCAUAUUUAUCAGAUCUAUACCGUUGACUAUAUUUCAUUAUGGGCAAUAUAUUUUUUGUUUUUAUCAAUGUGUGGUGCUGAUUUAGAGAACUGUGCCUUUCACUGUUUCCCAGCCACCAACAUGUCACAUCUGUAUCUCGGGGUAUGUUCACUGGAAUCUCAUUGGAUGAGAUUUUACUGGGUAACACACUUUGGACACUUUUCUCUUUUCUGGUAACUAUAAUUAAUAGCAAAGACAUUUUAUCCUUCACAAAGUUGUGUGUAUUUGACCAGUUAGAUUCCUGAAGAAUGUCAAAUGCAUCAUAUCAUAUUUCAGGUAAAAUAUUGGAUGCAAGCUGUAAUUGAGUUGAUGAAAAGAACAUAACAAUAUCAGCAUUGUGGCAUGUGUGAGGUCUAAAUCUUGUUAAUGAUUAAUACCUAUCAAUUUUAAUAUUUCAUUGCUCAUUAAAUGUUUUGAUGUCCUUCACCUUUAUAUCAUGUACGUUAAACUUCUACACUAAAUUAACAAAGAGGUGGACAACAUGUCUGUUGUGUACAUUGAUGUAGACAUGUUGUUGCCGCCACACCCAGCCUGGUUCCGUCAGUGUUGAUGUUCAGGCAGCACGCAUCACCAAGAGGAGACCUUCAAACAGCUUGUGUACUUUUCCUUUAAUUUAAAACCUUUUGCUGGACUUGAAGUAAAGACCAUUAUAUAUCACUGGAUGACGGGAUGGGAUAAAUCCAAUAUACCACGGUACAUCCUGUUGAGCACUGGAACAUGUAUUUAAAGAUUUCAGUUAAUCUAUGGUUUUUUGUGACCUGCUGUGUAUUGCUGGUCUCCUGUUGGGAUGAAUGCUGACCUUCCAGUCUCCCGCUCUGUCAACCUACUCUGUAUAUUGUGUCUGUACAUAACUAUGAUCCGUCUGUUGGUGACAGCCCUAGCACUGUCAUGGUAACAACUGGGGUUGACAGAGUUGUCUUCCCUUUAAGACAAUAAAGGUAUUUCAACAUGAUAAA
rnacentral:misc_RNA from 1 species